rnacentral:rRNA from 1 species
AGUUGAUCCUGGCUCAGGAUGAACGCUAGCGGCAGGCCUAACACAUGCAAGGUCGCGGGGCAGCACGGGUAGCAAUACCUGGUGGCGACCGGCGCACGGGUGCGUAACGCGUAUGCAACCUGCCCCCAUCAGGGGAAUAGCCCGCCGAAAGGCGGAUUAAUGCCCCAUAGGCCCAGGGCGCCGCAUGGCGCUAUGGGUAAAGCUCCGGCGGAUGGGGAUGGGCAUGCGUGCCAUUAGCUAGUUGGGGCGGUAACGGCGCACCAAGGCGACGAUGGCUAGGGGGUCUGAGAGGAUGGUCCCCCACACUGGUACUGAGACACGGACCAGACUCCUACGGGAGGCAGCAGUGAGGAAUAUUGGUCAAUGGGCGAGAGCCUGAACCAGCCAAGUAGCGUGAAAGGAUGAAGGUCCUAUGGAUUGUAAACUUCUUUUAUAGUAGAAUAAAGUGAGCCACGUGUGGUUUUUGUAUGUAUACUAUGAAUAAGGAUCGGCUAACUCCGUGCCAGCCGCCGC